AUUUCAAAUAUAAUAAGUAUAAAUAAGAUUCUGUUAAACUUAUUUAUCUAAACUAUAUCAUUUUUUCGUUCGAAGGUUGUUUCGGAAAUAUGUCCUGCCGAUCUUGCUGUAAUCCAUGCUGCUCCCCCCCACCUUGCCCUCCACCCACUAUUUUAUGCAGGCCACCUUGCCCACCCCGUUGCCCACCUCAGCCAACUAAAACAACAGUUUACCUACGGCCUUGUACUCCUUGUCCACCUUGUUGCGCCAUUCCUUGUCCACCAAAGGUUAUCGUUGCGUGUACACCACCACCGCCACCCUGUCCACCGCCCUGUCCAACUGUGGCGUUCGUUUGCACCAAGAAAAUGGUCCCCUGUAUGCCCUGUCCACCGCCUACUCCGCCGCCUUGCUCCCCUUGUCGUGCAGUUUGCCUGUCUCAUCCCCCCUGUUAACUGCAGGCAAGAGUUGGAAGGUUUCUUCGGAUCUGACAGUUAGGCGUGUGGGAUCUAACGAGAACGACGAAUAUAUACGUGGAUUUGACUUUCUAUACGAAAAUAGGAAAAUAUCAGGUACAGAGAGUUUCAAAGAAAAUUUGCGAGAUAAGAUAAAAAUACAAGAUACAUGGAACUGUUUCAACGUUGAAGAAAUCCUGAUCAGGUAAAACGAAUUAAGACACAAGUUUCUAAUUAUGAUCGAUUUACUGUCUCGGAAGUGGCACAAAACUUACGACGAAGAGAUCCCGAUUGGUUGUAAUCUCGGAUUGAACUGUACUCGAAUGCGUCUUCCAACAAACUUUUAUUUCCCGAUCGAGGAAUUCGAUGAUCAUCGUAACCGAAUUAAGAAUUACCAAGAAUUUAAGUGACUUACCGAUUUAGACGUUAUCUUGUUAGGUUGCUCUUUAGAAUGACGAAUUGUUAAAAUAACGAGGAUUAUUCUUGUGAUAGAGAUCGAGAUUUCGUCGAGAGAAAUGUUUAUCUGUUAUUCCCAAUUUUCCCAAAGCUUAGAUGAUUUUAAAUCAACUGCAAUUCGUCCCACGCAAGUUAUAUUUACAUUGCACAGGCAUGUAUUUUUCCCCCCUUAAAAAUAAGUGCGUUUGCAAAGUGAAAGACCAUGGGGAGAAUUUGCUGCAUACUUUUCAAUACAGUUUAGUAAUAUAUUAAUUUUUCAAUAUCAUCGUUAAACAAACGAACGUGAUUACGAUGUACUUCAGCAUUUGAUAAUGUUGAUCGCAAUAGAAAACAGGUACCAUUCAUUUUUUACUGUGAUUUUUUUUUAUGAAUCAAGUCACGUUGUCAAGGUUUUGGUACGGUUGCGACAACGGGAUGACUGAUUUUAUCGUAUCACGUUCGAGAUAAAAAUUUCCAAGUUAUCUCAUAACCUAUUGACAUUAUCAGUAGUGGCAAAGAAAAAUACGGAAAGCUAAGAAAUACGCAAUUA